rnacentral:rRNA from 1 species
AACGAACGCUGGCGGCAGGCUUAACACAUGCAAGUCGAACGGGCGUAGCAAUACGUCAGUGGCAGACGGGUGAGUAACACGUGGGAACCUUCCUAGGGGUACGGAACAACUCAGGGAAACUUGAGCUAAUACCGUAUACGUCCGUGAGGAGAAAGAUUUAUCGCCCUUAGACGGGCCCGCGUCGGAUUAGGUAGUUGGUGGGGUAACGGCCUACCAAGCCUACGAUCCGUAGCUGAUCUGAGAGGANGAUCAGCCACACUGGGACUGAGACACGGCCCAGACUCCUACGGGAGGCAGCAGUGGGGAAUCUUGGACAAUGGGCGCAAGCCUGAUCCAGCCAUGCCGCGUGAGUGAAGAAGGCCUUAGGGUUGUAAAGCUCUUUUACCAGGGACGAUAAUGACGGUACCUGGAGAAUAAGCCCCGGCAAACUUCGUGCCAGCAGCCGCCGU